CCGAGUGCGGGCCCUCUGGGUCCACCCUCCCACCCGUGUCUACCGUCCCUUGUUGCUUCGGCGGGCCUGCCCCCCUCCCGGGGGGGCGGCCGGGGGGCCCUCGCGCCCCCGGGCUCCGUGCCCGCCGGAGACCCCCUCCACGAACCCUGUGUGAAGGUUGCCGUCUGAGUGGAUUUAUCCAAAUCGUCA
rnacentral:misc_RNA from 1 species